rnacentral:tRNA from 1 species
GGGCUGUUAGCUCAAUAGGCAGAGCAGCUGACUUUUAAUCAGCGGGUUCUGGGUUCGAGUCCCAGGCGGCCCA